rnacentral:sRNA from 2 species
UAUCUCUCCGUACGGGGAAGGAUGAGAAGCUUCGACUAAAGUUCGAUUCGAGCGCAGCGAGAAAGCGUUGCCGCAGGCAACGACCCGAAGGGUGAGGAGCGGAGCGACGAAUAAUCCUUCCCCCACCACCA